ensembl:lncRNA
UCUCACUUAAGAGGAAAGACUGUUCCAUCUGAAGAGGAAAUGUCUGAGAGGUGAUCUCAUAUCUUCAUGAAUAUCUAGGGUGUAAGAGUCAAGCUUAUGGGUUGAACUCUUUUCUGUGGUAUGCAGCGACAGAACAAGGGGCAGUGGUAAGAAACUGGAACCCAGGAAGUUCCACAUUAUCACAAGAAGAACUUCUUUACUGUGAGAUAGACAGUGCUUUGGAGUAGGCUGCCCAGAGAGGUUGUGGAGUGUCCUUCUCUGGAGAUAUUCAAGACUGAUCUGUACGUCUACCUAUGCAAUCUGCUGUAGGAAACAUGCUUUAGCAGAGAACAUGAAAAAAAAGACCCAAGUUGAAGAUUACUAACAAGGCUCACGAAGGUAAGUAAUUUUUCAAGCCUGAUACAAGAGGGAUUGUUCCUGUGGUGGGGAGAUCUACUAUUACACCUCUGCUGUUCGCUGGAGAAGAAACACUUUAACUGCUUCCUCCUAUGCUAUGAGAGGGUGUCGGAGGACAUGGUCUUGUCCUGGUCUUCUGAACAGCUUAGUCACUCAACCUCUUCUGGUUCCUGGUGUAGAAACCAGCCACUCAUGUCCAGAUGCUACUAAGUUUGAGGAGUUGCGAAAUUGGCUCAUGAGAAGAUUGACUGUGGAAGAGGUCUCUGUUGAUACUGGAAAAGGUCUUCUCACACGAAGCUGUGUUUAUGGGACUUACAGCUGAUGGAACAUGACAACCUGCUACUAGAGAGAAGAAGAAGGUAGGAUGAAGAUACAGGAAAGAGAGGGAAGGCCCUCUGCCACAGCUCGCUGCAAAGAGAUGCAACAUCCUCCUUGGGAUGGUCUCUCCCCACUACAGCAGCUGGUGAUGACAGUGGUGUUGUAGCCAGCAUAGUCAUCAUCCCAUUUUCUCCUCCAUGGACUGGCACAGCCCAGGUGGCCAUUUCACACAGGACCUGACAUUUCCCCCC